GACGAACGCUGGCGGCGUGCUUAACACAUGCAAGUCGAACGGAAAGGCCCAGCUUGCUGGGUGCUCGAGUGGCGAACGGGUGAGUAACACGUGAGUGAUCUGCCCCUAACUUCGGGAUAAGCUUGGGAAACUGGGUCUAAUACCGGAUAGGACAAUCGUUUAGUGUCGGUUGUGGAAAGUUUUUUCGGUUAGGGAUGAGCCCGCGGCCUAUCAGCUUGUUGGUGGGGUAAUGGCCUACCAAGGCGUCGACGGGUAGCCGGCCUGAGAGGGUGGACGGCCACAUUGGGACUGAGAUACGGCCCAGACUCCUACGGGAGGCAGCAGUGGGGAAUAUUGCACAAUGGGCGCAAGCCUGAUGCAGCGACGCCGCGUGGGGGAUGACGGCCUUCGGGUUGUAAACCUCUUUCGACAGGGACGAAGCUUUGGUGACGGUACCUGUAUAAGAAGCACCGGCUAACUACGUG
rnacentral:rRNA from 1 species